AGGCCGCCGCGGCGGCGCCCGCCUGCGCCUCCAUCCGGGUCCUGGCGCGCUGCUCUCCCGGCAGCGACGGGCGCGAAGGCCGGGGCAUUCCCACGGCGGCGACGGCCCUCUACGCGAACGCGAGGAAACCAGGAUUACCGAGGAGGAAAAAAAGCCUUCCUGUGGUGCUCAACUGUGAUUCCUUUUCAUCAUUCACCCUGGAUGUUCUCUUCACUGUGGGAUGAGGUAGUAGGUUGUAUAGUUUUAGGGUCACACCCACCACUGGGAGAUAACUAUACAAUCUACUGUCUUUCCUAACGUGAUAGAAAAGUCUGCAUCCAGGCGGUCUGAUAGAAAGUCAGUUAACUAAUUGUACAAUAUUUAAGAUUAACUUGUCUUAAAGAGAUGUAGUGCAGCAUUUGCUUAUGGCCUGGAAAUUUAUUACUUUAGAGAUAAAGUCUGUAGCAAGUACACUGGAUGGGGGUGGGGAAACCUUUUGCUGCUUGUCUUAUUUCUCUGUAUCAGAAUAAAUGUAUUUUUUUUAUUUUGAUUGAUGCUGAUAAUUUUAUGUUGAAAUUUUCUUUUGAAAGAGAUUGUACUUUCCAUUCCAGAAGAAAACAUUGCUCUAUCAGAGUGAGGUAGUAGAUUGUAUAGUUGUGGGGUAGUGAUUUUACCCUGUUCAGGAGAUAACUAUACAAUCUAUUGCCUUCCCUGAGGAGUAGACUUGCUGCAUUAUUUUGUUUUUAUCUAGAUGAUAUUAAAACUCAGAAGAAUUAAUUUUGACGUUUUGUAUUUACAGUUUAUCAGUUAAUUUUCUCUGUUCAAGUAGUACAGUAGGCACAGAGAUUAACAUUUAAAUUUUUCACAUAUGGUAUAUUUCAGAAAUUUGAAGUUAAGCAAAAAUCUUAAUGAGUAGAGAAAGUAAGUAGCCUUCCGGAAAUCUUAAUAGAGGACCAGGGCCUUUUGGAAUUGUGAAUAGAUUUAUUGCCUUACAUCCUGGUACACAUGUCCAAGGUGAGGUCCCGGGUGGUAAAGGUAAAUACAAAUUGGAAGGGCACUGUGUGAGCCAAAACGAGUCAGAUUAGUCAUGAUUCAUUUCCAGUUUGGGUUUUGGGUGGUCUUGGAGAAUGUUGUAAGCACUGCUUCAUUGAUAGGUUGAUUGAGCCAGACUUUACUCAGCAGCGUGGAAAAGGAGAGAUGGGCUCUGGGUUCUACCUUUGCUUACUGGUAAGUUGCUCAGAUCUCAGCUUUGCCCUCAAACCCUGAAGUAGUCUUUCAUUCACACAGUGGGAUCACUCGAAAAUGUCAGAUGGGGAAGUCCAUAGGUUGUUACUUUAAAGAAAAUAGAAAAACUGCUGGAAAAGGUUUCUUGAAUUUUAAUACCCAUGAAGGCCCAUGUUUUAGCUUUCCUCCGAUGGGCAAACCAUACACUAACUUGGGCCUUGUAAUCAACAAGCAAGGCUAAAAGCUCUCUAAGUGCUUGCUGUUUAAACUAUUUUGUGUUGGAAGAAGAGUUGGAAAAGAGGCAGUGUGGAGGUGAGGGAGAAGUUCCCUCCCUCUCCAAUCAUUUCCAAUAAAUGGAAAUUUAAGGAGAAAUUUGUGUUUAUCCUUAAUAUCUAAGAUAAUCACUGUGCAGUGCCAUUGGUACUUUUCAUGAGAGUAGAAACAUCAAACUUCCUUGGAUGGGCCCAACCCAGGUGACUUACUCUGAACCAAAUGUAUGCUUUUUGUUUUAUCCACUGUGGACAGCUGCAUAGAUAAUUGGUCUUUGUUCUAAUCUGCACAUAAAAACAUGGGAGAAAAUGACAUUUGUUGCCUUUUGGUGUGCCAAAGAAGAGUGGGAAUGUUCUAAGAAUUCUCUUUGGCUUAAUCUUUGUUGAACUGAAAAUAUGUAUAACUCUUUUGCUGAAAGUGUAGCAAGUACAGUCAUGAAAUUUUGUGGUCUUCCUGACACAUGUUCUUCCAGCAUAACGUUGCCACCCUCAGUUGGAAACGUAUCCUUAUCUAAUAAUUAAGCCCUGGAGAAAAAUUAAUUUAUGUAUUUUAUUAAUUACAUAAGGACAUUGUUAUUAGCUGAGCAGAGUAAGUAAAUCAAAAUAAAACUUUAAAAAUGCCUUUAUGGAGAGAAUGACUAUCUCUGAAAGCUUGUUUUUAAUGAUGAUAAAAUUCAUGAUCAGAAUUUGUUUCUGUUUACUUUAAUUCAGGGGUCAAAACUGAAAUACCAUCAGAGGCCCAGGAGGGGCUAGCUGUAACUGGCAAAUAUAGUAAAUUAAUUUGCUCUGGUUGAUGGGUAGCAAGCAGGGUUUAUAUACAUUGUCACCUACUUUUCCAGUUAACAGGAGAGACUGGAGAUUUUAUGAAAUUUGAUAUUUAAAUGUUGGUAAUUGGGUUGGGCACCAUGGCUCACACCUCUAAUCCCAACACUUCGGGAGGCUGAGGUGGGUGGAGCACCUGAGGUCAGGAGUUAAAGACCAUCCUGACCAACGCGGUGAAACACAGUCUCUAAUAAAGAUACAAAAAUUAGGCCAGGCAUGGUGGCUCAUGCCUGUAAUCCCAGCACUUUGGGAGGCCAAGGUGGGCGGAUCACCUGAGUCAGGAGUUCAAGACCAGCCUGCCUAACAUGGUGAAAACCUGUUUCUACUAAAAAUACAAAAAAGUAGCUGGGCAUGGUGGUGGGCGCCUGUAAUCCAGCUACUCGGGGGGCUGAGGCAGGAGAAUCACUUGAACCCAGGAGGCGGAGGUUGCAGUGAGCCGAGAUCACACCACUGUACUCCAGCCUGGGUGACAGAGCGAGACUCUGUCCAAAAAACAAAAUUGGUAAUUAAAUGUUAAAAGUCAGUGACUCCAGUAAUAUGUGGUGGGCUGAGUAUUAGACUGCUGGCUUACAUCCUCUGAUGUAAUUACUUUCUUGUUCCUUUGUGACUUGAGGUUGGAUUUUAAGCAGAUAUAUUUGUGGCUUUUUACCAAGGUCAUAUGGCCAGAUAACUUUUCAAAAGCAUUAAAGAAUUCUGAUUAGUUUGAAUUUCAAACAAAACUCAAAGAACAUGACCUAUAAUUUAACAGGUUAAUUUGAAGUGCAUCUACCAAGUAGAAGACCAGCAAGAAAAAAAAAAUGGGUUCCUAGGAAGAGGUAGUAGGUUGCAUAGUUUUAGGGCAGGGAUUUUGCCCACAAGGAGGUAACUAUACGACCUGCUGCCUUUCUUAGGGCCUUAUUAUUCACCGAUAACCUGUUUCCUUGCUACUUUGCUUUGGUGUAAGCAGAGUUCUUUCUGCAGGUUUUCUCAAAUGAAAACAUUGCAAGAAUAUCAAAGAGAGCAGUGUUUGCGUUAGUGAUUUAUAAACUGCAGCAUGGUGCUGACAUUGAUAACUGAAAGUCAACUAAUGAGAAUUUGAGACUUCUGAAGUACACUUAAGUUGCUGGUGUCUCUCCCUUUUGGGGACACUGGAAAGUUUAGAAAGCAUAGUUUUGUUUUGCUCAGGUUUCUCUUUCUGUGAUGCAGAGACUCUCAGCUGUUCCUCCUCUAUGUCUACAUUAUGUCUGAAGGAAAGAAUUUAACAAAACUUGAAAUAUUGCUGUUUUUCUACAAUGUUUGUAAAUAUUUAUCUUGCCGCUUUUCUAGGUUUGUCUUCUGGAUUUAAAAUUUGGGGCGGCUGGGGUGGAAUUGCAUGGUUUGGGAAUGGGUAAUUGAGCUGCUGCUCAUUAUGGUAUGUAACAGCGAUUUGUCUGUUUAAUAUGUACAAGAACUGGAAGGUCAAUAAAAUGAAAAUGGUUGUCUUGACCGGGUAAUGGUGUUACAUGUUUUGUUAAAGUUAUACAUCUUUUCAAUAAAAACACUGCAUACUUCAAAA